rnacentral:rRNA from 1 species
AACGCGAAGAACCUUACCUGGGCUUGAACCGCACAGGACCAUUCCUAGAAAUAGGGACUUCCCGCAAGGGACCUGUGUAGAGGUGCUGCAUGGCUGUCGUCAGCUCGUGCCGUGAGGUGUUGGGUUAAGUCCCGCAACGAGCGCAACCCUUACUCGUAGUUGCCACCCGCAAGGGGGAACUCUACGAGGACUGCUCCGGAUAACGGAGAGGAAGGUGGGGAUGAGGUCAAGUCAGCAUGGCCUUUAUGUCCAGGGCUACACACGUGUUACAAUGCGCGCUACAAUGCGUCGCGAACCCGCGAGGGGGAGCUAAUCGCAAAAAAGCGCGCUCAGUUCGGAUUGCAGUCUGCAACUCGACUGCAUGAAGCUGGAAUCGCUAGUAAUCGUGGAUCAGCAUGCCACGGUGAAUACGUUCCCGGGCCUUGUACACACCGACUGUAC